GUAGUCAUAUGCUUGUCCCAAAGAUUAAGCCAUGCAUGUCUAAGUAUAAGCAAUUAUACCGUGAAACUGCGAAUGGCUCAUUAAAUCAGUUAUCGUUUAUUUGAUAGUACCUUACCACUUGGAUAACCGUGGUAAUUCUAGAGCUAAUACAUGCUAAAAACCCCGACUUCGGAAGGGGUGUGUUUAUUAGAUAAAAAACCAAUGCCCUUCGGGGCUCUUUGGUGAUUCAUGAUAACCUAACGGAUCGCAUGGCCUUGCGCCGGCGACGGUUCAUUCAAAUUUCUGCCCUAUCAACUUUCGAUGGUAAGGUAUUGGCUUACCAUGGUUUCAACGGGUAACGGGGAAUG
rnacentral:rRNA from 1 species